UGGGUUUUUUUCAACACAGACUCUUCCCUUCAGCAUUCAGUCUAUUCUGGAUUUCAAAUUACCUGAAAAUCUUAGAGAGUGAGAUUUUCACGUUCUCUCCACUUGAAAGCUACUGAAAAACCUGAAAGACAUUUUGCCUUGUGGAGGAUCUGAAGACAAAAAAUGUGCAGUCUUUGGAAGGCACACUGGGUUGCUGUCAUCAUUUAUCUACUUAAAAGCUCUGUGAAGAAGGAAUCCAGAGAACAGCAGAGCUGCUCCACAUGACUGUAAAUUGUUCUGAGGCUGCACCAAACCUUGAAAACUGGGAGUACACAUUGGAUUUAAUGGCUGUUCAGUUCCCUUUAGUUCUUAUGCUCAUCUUCCUUGAAAGUUGCAGGCAGAACAGAUAACAUGCCAUCAUUCCCUCAGCACUGGGCCUUAUGUUCAGAGUCAAAUAGAAUAAGGUACAAAUCUUUUGGUUCUGCUUACAUUCCUUAUUUAUACAACACAGUCAUAAUCAAUGAGUAGUGUGAACUAAAGAGAAAUAAUAGCAGCCCCCUAGUGUACCAGAUACAGGGAAGACUGAGUGUUGAAAUCUUCUGAAGGAAUUUCUGUGGUCCUUUUCACUGUCUUGCAGAAUAGGUGCUGCCUUACAGCCAUAGACUUGUUCUUGCUCUGAUUUCUGAUAAUUUUAAUGCACUACACUUUUCAGCUUUCUACUCCCAUCCUUCCGUGCUUGAACUCAGAAAAGAGGCCAUUAAACAUGAGUAUUUCAGGCUUAGCAUAAAUUUCUCAUUUGAAAUAAGGAGCUAUAGGUUAGGAAUUCCCUGCACACUG
rnacentral:lncRNA from 1 species